CGGGGCCUCCGAUGGGGCCGUAGAGUUCCAUUGCUGGGGCAGUGCCCCCUCCCCUUCUUCGGGGGUGUGUGGGAGGUGCUGGCAUCACUUAAUGAGGCCUCCGCGGCUGCCAAGGAGAGCUGGAGGAGUUGAAACAGGUUCUGGGUGAGAUGGAGUUUCGUUCUUGUUGCCCAGGCUGGAGUACAGUGGCACGAUCUCAGCUCACCACAACCUCCAUCUCUCAGAUAGUACCAUGUGGUGCCAUAUAACAAAGGUACAAGCGUGUAGUGAAAAGCCAGCCUCCCUCCUGUGCUUCCUCACUCUCUCAGCUCUGCACCAUGAUGGUCUUUUGUGUUGCCUUUCAGAAGGGCUCUGUGAACGUGCAGGUUCAAGCGAUUCUCCCGACUCGGCCUCUGGAGUAGCUGGGAUUAUAGGCAAGUGCCAGUACACCCGGCUAAUUUCUGUAUUUUUAGUAGAUACGGGGUUUCACUACAUUGGCCAGGCUGGUCUCAAACUCCUGACUUCAUGAUCUGCUCGCCUUGACCUCCCAAGAUGCUGGGA